GUUCUUAACUUUUGGAAACUGAAGUGCCUCAAAUAUCUUGCACUCAAUAAGAACCCUGUGAGAAUGAGGGCUCAUUUGUUGCCCAACCUUGGCCAGCAGUAUACAACCUGCCUGUCUUUCCCCCUGAACUGCAAGCAGCUUUGCAGAGGAAGGAUCCCGGCUUUAAGAAGAAGGACAAGUCUCACAUCCGUGCAUUACUGAUUCAAGUGUUGUUUGACAGCAUCACUAAGCACACCUGGUACCCAAAUCAUAAAAUGUAUGGAGAUUUUCUGGGGAGUUUGAUCACCCGCUUUUCCUCUG